rnacentral:rRNA from 1 species
GCAAGUCGAGGGGCAGCAUAUCCAGCUUGCUGGAUGAUGGCGACCGGCGCACGGGUGCGCAACGCGUAUGGAACCUGCCCUUUGCAGGGGAAUAGCCCAGAGAAAUUUGGAUUAAUGCCCCAUAGUAUGCACUCAUCUCCUGAUAGGUGUAUUAAAGGCUUCGGCCGGCAAAGGAUGGCCAUGCGUACCAUUAGCUAGUUGGUAAGGUAACGGCUUACCAUGGCAACGAUAGGUAGGGGUCCUGAGAGGGAGAUC